rnacentral:rRNA from 1 species
CCUACGGGUGGCAGCAGUCGAGAAUCAUUCACAAUGGGGGAAACCCUGAUGGUGCGACGCCGCGUGGGGGAAUGAAGGUCUUCGGAUUGUAAACCCCUGUCAUGUGGGAGCAAAUUAAAAAGAUAGUACCACAAGAGGAAGAGACGGCUAACUCUGUGACAGCAGCCGCGGUAAUACAGAGGUCUCAAGCGUUGUUCGGAAUCACUGGGCGGAAAGCGUGCGUAGGCUGUUUCGUAAGUCGUGUGUGAAAGGCGCGGGCUCAACCCGCGGACGGCACAUGAUACUGCGGGACUAGAGUAAUGGAGGGGGAACCGGAAUUCUCGGUGUAGCAGUGAAAUGCGUAGAUAUCGAGAGGAACACUCGUGGCGAAGGCGGGUUCCUGGACAUUAACUGACGCUGAGGCACGAAGGCCAGGGGAGCGAAAGGGAUUAGAUACCCUGGUAGUC